CCCUGCCUUUUGUACACACCGCCCGUCGCUACUACCGAUUGAAUGGCUUAGUGAGGCUUUCGGACCGGCCUGUGGAGGUUGGUAACGACCACCGUGGGCUGGAAAGUUAGUCAAACUUGGUCAUUUAG
rnacentral:rRNA from 1 species